rnacentral:rRNA from 1 species
GGACGAACGCUGGCGGCGUGCUUCAUACAUGCAAGUCGAACGAGAAAUACCUUCGGGUAAUGGAAAGUGGCGGACGGGUGAGUAAAAUGUAGAGAAUCUGCCCUAGAGAGAGGGACAACAGAGGGAAACUUCUGCUAAUACCUCAUAUGCGCGUAGCUGAGAUGCUAUUCGUGAAAACUCCGGUGCUCUAGGAUGAGUCUGCAUCUGAUUAGCUAGUUGGGGGUGUAAUGGACCACCAAGGCGACGAUCAGUAGCUGGUUUGAGAGGAUGAUCAGCCACAAUGGGACUGAGACACGGCCCAUACUCCUACGGGAGGCAGCAGUAGGGAAUUUUGCGCAAUGGGCGAAAGCCUGACGCCAGCAACGCCGCGUGAUUGAAGAAGCCCUUCGGGGUGUAAAGAUCUGUCAGUGGGGACGAAGAAUGACGGUACCCACAGAGGAAGCAUCGGCUAACUCCGUGCCAGCCGCGGC